AAGAGGAGUUCCCCAGGACUGAGGAAGCUUCACAAGCUGACAUACAAGCACCUGUACUUUGUCACCUUCUCUGAGAAUGCACGUGUACUUGGCAGCACAGGUCCUGAGCAGCACAGUUGCAAAUGCGCUGGAGUCCUAUGGGCAGGUUGGAACGACCUCAACUGUCAAGUUCAUCAAGAUGUUUGAUAAGUUUUUCGACUGUUUGAAUGUCUCGAAUAUGUGCCAGUGAGCACGCACAAGAAAACCGGCUUUGGCACCAAACACAAGUGUAGAUGAUUGGCGGUUUGAGGAUUUCUUGGGCUUCUUGUGGGAGUGGGAGGAUGAAGUCCAAGCUCUGCCAGAUGUGGACAGCACGGCGCGUAAGAAGAUGUGCCUCAGCAUU